UACGUAGGUGGCAAGCGUUGUCCGGAAUUAUUGGGCGUAAAGCGCGCGCAGGCGGUCUUUUAAGUCUGAUGUGAAAGCCCACGGCUCAACCGUGGAGGGUCAUUGGAAACUGGGGGACUUGAGUGCAGAAGAGGAAAGUGGAAUUCCAAGUGUAGGCGGUGAAAUGCGUAGAGAUUUGGAGGAACACCAGUGGCGAAGGCGAACUUUCUGGUCUGUAACUGACGCUGAGGCGCGAAAGCGUGGGAGCAACAGG
rnacentral:rRNA from 1 species